AUGAGAAAACGAUAUCCUUCGUCUUCACGCACUAACGGCGGUGCCUUCCCCUCAACCUUCUUUCUCCGAUCAUCAUCACCAGAUAUUUCUUCUUCCGACGUCAUCCUCUCAACGGCGCGGCGGCUCUCCUUCUCUCAUCUUCUUCUAAAAAACGGCAGCCUCAACCUCCUUCAGCUCCGACAAUCUCUGCCGUCAAAACGCCAUAAAACUCGCCUCGUCUCAAUCAUCAAUCCCUGUCUCCGAUCAAUUUCUCAGCAAUUUCAACCUUCAAAGCUUCAAUAUGUGCCUCAACCUCGUCUCAAUCUCUCUUCCCCGAUGAACUUGCUACGUCUUCUCUGA